GGCUUCGGGGCCUGAAACCCCAGGCUUGGCUUGUUUGAUGUUUAGCAUCCCAAAGCGGCUCCCCACCCCCGCCCCAGCCUGGGAACCCCGAGCUCCGGGGCCGAAGAGAAGGGGAAGCAGUUCUCUCAGCUGGAGGGCGGUGGAUUGGCUGGGCUUAGAGAAGUGGCGAAAACUACAGGACUCCCCGCCCUGAGCAGGGGAGAAAGGGAUCCCGGAAUGAUGCGGUCAUCCAUGAGGAUAUAGCUGGAGUCCUAAAGGCCAAGAGGCAGACGGGGAAAGAAAUGUCACAAUUUGGGGGAAUACACUGGAGAUAGGGGCCAGGUCGGUGGAAAUAGCUUGGGGCCACCGCGAAAACAAGGUAAGCGGUGUCUGGGUCCAGUUAGUGAGCAUCGAGAACGGCGUCCACGACUGCAGGGCUAUCAGGGCCUCGAGGAGACAGCGCUCCGUGCCACUGCUUAGUGCUUGGCCUUUCAUAGGGACGAACCUGCUUAGGAGUCUUCCAAGAGAUUUUUAAAUCCUCCGAGUCUGGACCUGGAAGCUCCAUUGGCGACGUUUGGAUCUGGCUUCGUAGUCUUUGAUUUCGAAAGCCCAGGAAGAUUCGCAGACUUUCAAGGCCGCACACACCGCAUUGCCGGGAGUCUGGGCGGCGGUGAGGACUGAGAAGCUGUCUCAAGACCUGAGUCUCUUCUCAGGCGAUCCCAGAUAAGAGGAGAGAGAGAGAGCUUUUCUGACUUCCAACUCAUUAGGGACCAGAUUUGCUCUCCAGCACAGCAAAAGGGUCUGCCUGUGACCCUCACCGAACUCACUCUUCACUGCUUUAUAGAGACCAUCAGACUCAGGACAAAUAUUCUAGUUUGGAUGCGCAAUUAAUAAUAAGAAGAUACAGGACAGAGGCGGACUGAAUGGCUCCAAUUCUCAGAAUGUGAAAGCGUAAAUCAGAACCUACUAUUUUGUAAAACCAACUUGGAAAACAAAAUUGUCAGAAGCAAAACAACAACAACAACAACAAUAAAAACCAAACCAACAACAAAACCAAGCAAGUCAGGCUGUUUUACCAAUAAAGGGGGCACUGAAUGGAAUCAGAGAUCUGAUAAGUGCCGGGAAGUUGGACUAAGAGGGACAGGAGACUUCGAAACUUCUCUGAAUACUGCUCUGGGAUCAGUACACGUCAACCUGAACCCGGAAGAGUUCCAAGUAUCUUUCCCCUUCUCUGUCAGGUUCGUGUUACCCUGAACCUGUGAGCUCAGAAGGAAUUUUCUGGUUUUCGGGAGACGGCAGCCAUUCAUCAUAGCUCUCCACCACUGACUGACUGAGAGUCAAUUAUCAUCAAACAUCCAUCUGCCCAUG
rnacentral:lncRNA from 1 species